GGGCCCGCACAAGCGGUGGAGCAUGUGGCUUAAUUCGAUGCAACGCGAGGAACCUUACCUGGGCUAAAUCCACAGUGAUGUCUUCUGGAAACAGGAGGUCCCUUAGGGGCACUAUGGAAGGUGCUGCAUGGCUGUCGUCAGCUCGUGCCGUGAGGUGUUGGUUAAGUCCCGCAACGAGCGCAACCCCUGUGGUUAGUUACCAGCACGUAAAGGUGGGGACUCUAGCCAGACUGCCUACGCAAGUAGUGAGGAAGGUGGGGACGACGUCAAAGUCAUCAUGGCCCUUACGUCCAGGGGCUGCAACACGUGCUACAAUGGUCGGUACAAAUGGGUCGCCACCCAGCGAUGGG
rnacentral:rRNA from 1 species